rnacentral:rRNA from 1 species
AGAGUUUGAUCCUGGCUCAGGAUUAACGCUGGCGGCGUGCCUAAUACAUGCAAGUCGAGCGAGGAAAGUAGCAAUACUUUUCGAGCGGCGAACGGGUGAGUAACACGUUGGGAAUCUACCCCUGAGACCGGAAUACCUGGAAGAAAUUUCAGCUAAUGCCGGAUACGUGGUCAACACAGAAGUGAUGAUCAUAAAAGGCGGCCUUAAAGCCGCGCUGAGGGAUGAACCUGCGGCGCAUUAGCUAGUUGGUGAGAUAAAAGCCCACCAAGGCGAGGAUGCGUAGCCGACCUGAGAGGGUGAACGGCCACACUGGAACUGAGACACGGUCCAGACUCCUACGGGAGGCAGCAGUAGGGAGUAUUCGGCAAUGGGGGAAACCCUGACCGAGCAACGCCGCGUGAAUGAUGAAGGUCUUCGGAUUGUAAAAUUCUGUGGUAAGAGAAGAAAGAUAUAAAGAGGAAAUGCUUUGUAUUUGACGGUAUCUUGCUAGAAAGCCACGGCUAACUACGUGCCAGCAGCCGCGGUAAUACGUAGGUGGCAAGCGUUAUCCGGAAUUACUGGGCGUAAAGAGUGAGCAGGCGGUUAGAUAAGUCUAUGGUUAAAUGCAACAGCUCAACUGUUGUUCGCUAUAGAAACUAUUUAACUAGAGUGCGGGAGAGGUAAGUGGAACUCCAUAUGUAGCGGUGGAAUGCUUAGAUAUAUGGAAGAACACCAGAGGCGAAGGCGGCUUACCAGUCCGUAACUGACGCUCAGUCACGAAAGCGUGGGGAGCAAAUAGGAUUAGAUAUCCUAGUAGUCCACGCCGUAAACGAUGAGAACCUGAUGCAGGAGAUAUUCUGUGUCGAAGCUAACGCGUUAAGUUCUCCGCCUGGGUACUACGUUCGCAAGAAUAAAACUUAAAGGAAUUGACGGGGGCCCGCACAAGCAGUGGAGUAUGUGGUUUAAUUCGUCGCUACGCGAAAAACCUUACCAGGGUUU